rnacentral:rRNA from 1 species
UACGUAGGGUGCGAGCGUUGUCCGGAAUUACUGGGCGUAAAGGGCUCGUAGGUGGCCAACUAAGUCAGACGUGAAAUCCCUCGGCUUAACCGGGGAACUGCGUCUGGUACUGGAUGGCUAGAGAUUGGGAGAGGGAUGCGGAAUUCCAGGUGUAGCGGUGAAAUGCGUAGAUAUCUGGAGGAACACCGGUGGCGAAGGCGGCAUCCUGGACCAACACUGACGCUGAGGAGCGAAAGCGUGGGGAGCGAACAGG